UUUAUUCUCACCUGGGCGGCAUGCCUCAUGUUAGAAGGUUCUGGAAGUCGGAAUCGAGUGGGACAUCCAAUAUCGAUUUCUACUUCAUAAAACUGGCAGUACAUCUUCAUAAUAAACUCCAGAAACUUUGAAUUGUCCUACUGGUUGUUGGAUUCUGAAGACAUGCAUAGAAAUAGAACAAUAUUCCUUUAGAAAUUCGGAAAGAAAAGAGGUUCUUUGAUUUUUGUUUGCUUAGUAAUCCUACCUGUUGGUGAUUUCGUCACAGGCAGUCUGUAAUUCCCGGAGCUGCUGAUCUAAUUUAUGGGAAUAUUUCUAAUGUCGCUAUUGCCUGUGACAGCUUGGCCAUUGGAUGAGGUAGUGCUUUCAUGGUGAAGGCAAGCCGACCUGAUUUCUCCCUCUCGAGAAUGCUUCUGUGGAAUUGGUGUCAACGUUGUUUCUGGAAAAACCGUGAGAUGUAGGAUCUGAUGACGUCAUGCUUCGUGCGGACCUUUCUUGUUGGUGGUUCUCAUCCUGCCAAACAUACAAAAGCUCAGAA